GGUGAGUAACACGUGGGCAACCUGCCUGUAAGACUGGGAUAACACCGGGAAACCUGGUGCUAAUACCGGAUAAUUCUUUCCCUCUCAUGAGGGGGAGUUGAAAGUCGGUUUCGGCUGACACUUACAGAUGGGCCCGCGGCGCAUUAGCUAGUUGGUGAGGUAACGGCUCACCAAGGCGACGAUGCGUAGCCGACCUGAGAGGGUGAUCGGCCACACUGGGACUGAGACACGGCCCAGACUCCUACGGGAGGCAGCAGUAGGGAAUCUUCCACAAUGGACGAAAGUCUGAUGGAGCAACGCCGCGUGAGCGAUGAAGGCCUUCGGGUCGUAAAGCUCUGUAGUUAGGGAAGAACAAGUACCGGAGUAACUGCCGGUACCUUGACGGUACCUAACCAGAAAUGCCAUGGCUAACUAUUUGCCAUCAGCCGCGGUAAUACGUAUGUGGCAAGCGUUGUCCGGAAUUAUUGGGCGUAAAGCGCGCGCAGGCGGU
rnacentral:rRNA from 1 species